UGGAGAUUGAGUUGUAACCCAACCCAUUGACUUCAUCACAGCUUUCUUCCAUGUAGAAUAACGAAUUUCACUUUCUAGAAUUAGAAGGUAGAAAAAACACAUACGAAAGGUAGUUUGCUGAGGUGUUCUAAGUACCAUACUUAUGAUCACUCAACAUUCUUGACAAAUUAUUGCACACAUUAAACUGCAGUAGGGCUUUAGCAGGACUCAGAUUUGAAAGCACGUGGUUGCUGAUGACUGGAAGACAUGCUUGCUUGGAAGUUGGAGUGAAACAGGACACAGGGAGGCUGGGUGUAGUGGCUCAUGCCUGUAAUCGCAGCAUUUUGGGAGGGUGAGGAGGGUGAGGAGGGAGGAUGGCUUGACCUCAGGAGUUUGAGACCAGCCUGAGCAAUGUGGUAAAACCCUGCCUGUAGUACCAGCUACCUGGGAGGCUGAAGCAGGAGGAUCAUUUGAGCCUGGGAGCCAGUAAAUGAGGGCUCUACUCUUGGUUAGUUAGUUAGUAUUAAUCUACUAGCAGGCUAUUGAAACCUCUCAAUACAUCACAUUAUUUCUCUACAAAAUGGAGAUUGGGCUACGUGAUUGCUCAAGUUCAUUAGUACUUUGCUAUUAUUGCCAUUAUUAAGAAAUGACUAAUAUAUUCUUCCAAUAG
rnacentral:antisense_RNA from 1 species